rnacentral:rRNA from 1 species
UACGGGGGGGGGUAAGCGUUGUUCGGAAUUACUGGGCGUAAAGGGCUCGUAGGCGGCCAACUAAGUCAUACGUGAAAUCCCUCAGCUUAACUGGGGAACUGCGUGUGAUACUGGAUGGCUUGGAUUUGGGAGAGGGAUGCGGAAUUCCAGGUGUAGCGGUGAAAUGCGUAGAUAUCUGGAGGAACACCGGUGGCGAAGGCGGCAUCCUGGACCAAUAUUGA